UGGUACCAAGCUACAGAUAAAAUCUGCGUUUUGUGUGGAGCAUGUAAAAGGUUUUAUUUACAUUGAAGCUCCAAGGCAGUAUGAUUUAAUUGAGGCAUGUAAAGGCAUAAGUGGAAUAUACUCUACCCGUGUAGCUUCUGUUCCUGAAAAUGACAUCUCACAGUUGCUUACUGUUCGAAGUAGAGUCAGUGAAGUCACCGUGGGUACGAUGGCUCGUGUAAAAAAUGGGAAAUACAA
rnacentral:misc_RNA from 1 species